rnacentral:rRNA from 1 species
GGUUAAGCGACCAAGCGUACACGGUGGAUGCCUAGGCAGUCAGAGGCGAUGAAGGACGUGCUAAUCUGCGAUAAGCGCCGGUAAGGUGAUAUGAACCGUUAUAACCGGCGAUUUCCGAAUGGGGAAACCCAGUGUGACUCGUCACACUAUCGUUAAGUGAAUACAUAGCUUAACGAAGCGAACCAGGGGAACUGAAACAUCUAAGUACCCUGAGGAAAAGAAAUCAACCGAGAUUCCCCCAGUAGCGGCGAGCGAACGGGGAGCAGCCCAGAGUCUGAAUCAGCAUGUGUGUCAGUGGAAGCGUCUGGAAAGUCGCAGGGUACAGGGUGAUACUCCCGUACACGAAGAUGCAUGUGCUGUGAACUCGAAGAGUAGGGCGGGACACGUGGUAUCCUGUCUGAAUAUGGGGGGACCAUCCUCCAAGGCUAAAUACUCCUGACUGACCGAUAGUGAACCAGUACCGUGAGGGAAAGGCGAAAAGAACCCCGGCGAGGGGAGUGAAAUAGAACCUGAAACCGUGUACGUACAAGCAGUGGGAGCACCCUUGUGGUGUGACUGCGUACCUUUUGUAUAAUGGGUCAGCGACUUAUAUUCUGUAGCAAGGUUAACCGUAUAGGGGAGCCGAAGGGAAACCGAGUCUUAACUGGGCGUUAAGUUGCAGGGUAUAGACCCGAAACCCGGUGAUCUAGCCAUGGGCAGGUUGAAGGUUGGGUAACACUAACUGGAGGACCGAACCGACUAAUGUUGAAAAAUUAGCGGAUGACCUGUGGCUGGGGGUGAAAGGCCAAUCAAACCGGGAGAUAGCUGGUUCUCCCCGAAAGCUAUUUAGGUAGCGCCUCGUGAAUUCAUCUCCGGGGGUAGAGCACUGUUUCGGCUAGGGGGCCAUCCCGGCUUACCAACCCGAUGCAAACUGCGAAUACCGGAGAAUGUUAUCACGGGAGACACACGGCGGGUGCUAACGUCCGUCGUGAAGAGGGAAACAACCCAGACCGCCAGCUAAGGUCCCAAAGUCAUGGUUAAGUGGGAAACGAUGUGGGAAGGCACAGACAGCCAGGAUGUUGGCUUAGAAGCAGCCAUCAUUUAAAGAAAGCGUAAUAGCUCACUGGUCGAGUCGGCCUGCGCGGAAGAUGUAACGGGGCUAAACCAUGCACCGAAGCUGCGGCAGCGAC